rnacentral:rRNA from 1 species
GACGAACGCUGGCGGCGUGCCUAAUACAUGCAAGUCGAGCGGACGUUUUUGAAGCUUGCUUCAAAAACGUUAGCGGCGGACGGGUGAGUAACACGUGGGCAACCUACCUUAUCGACUGGGAUAACUCCGGGAAACCGGGGCUAAUACCGGAUAAUAUCUAGCACCUCCUGGUGCCGGAUUAAAAGAGGGCUUCUUGCUCUCACGAUGAGAUGGGCCCGCGGCGCAUUAGCUAGUUGGAGAGGUAACGGCUCCCCAAGGCAACGAUGCGUAGCCGACCUGAGAGGGUGAUCGGCCACACUGGGACUGAGACACGGCCAAGACUCCUACGGGAGGCAGCAGUAGGGAAUCUUCCGCAAUGGACGAAAGUCUGACGGAGCAACGCCGCAUGAGUGAUGAAGGGUUUCGGCUCGUAAAGCUCUGUUAUGAGGGAAGAACACGUACCGUUCGAAUAGGGCGGUACCUUGACGGUACCUCAUCAGAAAGCCACGGCUAACUACGUGCCAGCCGCCGCAGUAA